CAUUUCUUCUAUCCUCCUUUACAGUAAACAUCUAUUUCUGCUAUUUUCUUUCAUGUCUUACUAUUCAUCGAUCCUCUGAUUGCUACCUCUAUUACAAUUUAUCUCAUUAUCAUUUCUAUUGUUUUCUUCUGGUCUUAGAAUAUUAUGUUGUUCCUUUCAUUCCAUAUAUGGUAUAUUGCACAUGCCGGGGUCAAUCUAUAGACUUGAGAUGCUGCAUUGUUUCCAGGUGCAUUGC
rnacentral:lncRNA from 1 species